AGAAGGGGUGGACCCGCCACCUGUCCCGGAAUAUGGCAUGAGGGGAGAUCUGCUCCUGACCUUUGUUUUUAUCUCUGCAUCUCACCCCUGAAGCUAACAUAAAGUGCAACAGAAGCCAGAUCUACUUGAACAAGCCCACACAGAAGUCAGAAGGCUUCCCUGCAGAGUUGACCACGGCUCACACAGACUUCCCUCAGGAAAGGAAACCAAGGAGAUCCCCUUUCAUUUACAGUUUCUCAAGAACCAGAAGAUUGACCGUAAAUGAACACCAGGCUUAUAUGAGUACAAAGAAGGAGGCAAGAGAAAAUAAGAAUGACAAUGAAAAUGCCUCAAAGACACUAGUGGGAGCCCAUCACUGCUUCUCUGGGAGACCUCCACAGCUUACUAGUGCAAAAAGGGUAGAUAAGGCUGGCCAGGUGCUGCUGAACAACCCCAGUGAGUAUUCACCACUCAGGACCUUGUGAUCCAGAUCCUAGAA
rnacentral:lncRNA from 1 species